GCGUUCCUUGCGCCUCUGCCCCCCACACCCUACCGCCCGCCUUCUGUUGGCUGCUGACCCUGGGGGCAGCCCAGCUCAACGUCGUCGCACCAGGGGACUCCCCCAGGUCUGGUAGCCCAAAGCUGCUGCUACAGCCGCCAUGGGGGGGUGAAUUCCUCAUCCCCCAAUACAGGCAACCAAGACUCCAAGCAGGGAGAACAGGAAACAAAGAAUAGGUGAGGUCUAAACCCCUCCCCUAACAGCCUCCCACCACCAUCUGACUCCCUUCCUAACAUCAUUCUCAGUCACUUCCUACUCUUAAAUCUUAUUGUAUGAACUGGACACCAGCUCCUCCCACAAUUCCUUCUACCUUACAUCCUGCAAGCCCCUUUCCCCCACAGGUUCAACUCUGGUACUUCCCUUUGGAAUACGGAUUCUCUGAGAGGUUUUAAAUUUGGACAUAGCACUAAUGGUUCCAGCUUCAUACCCAUCAUGUGUCCUACAUUAAAACCUGGCCCGAGACCUUGAAGAGUCUGUAAUCUUAAUUUCCUCUUUAGUAUUCCUAUAACCCACUCUCCAUCUCCCCACCUACCAGGUCUGCCAGUGAGGAGCAGGCCUUGUCACAGGAUGGGUCUGGGGAGAAGCCCAUGCACACAGCUCCUCCACAGGCCCCGGCCCCGCCAGCCCAGUCCUGGACAGUGGGUGGGGACAUACUCAACGCCAGGUUCAUUCGAAACCUGCAGGAACGUCGCAGCACCAGGCCUUGGUGACCGCAGCCCCGUCAAACAUCUUCAAAGUAUUAUUUCUCCCUCACUACAGGAAAGAGCCAAAGCCCAACCCUCAUAAUAGAUGGAUACAUUCAUUCAUUCAUUCAUUCAGCAGGCUUAUCAGAUUCAAGUCAUUUGUAUCUUUUAACCAGACCAAUAAAAGUAUUUAUUUUUAUCACAAGA
rnacentral:lncRNA from 10 species